UACAGAGGUCUCAAGCGUUGUUCGGAUUCAUUGGGCGUAAAGGGUGCGUAGGUGGCGCUGUAAGUCGGGUGUGAAAUUUCGGAGCUUAACUCCGAACUGCAUUCGAUACUGCGGUGCUUGAGGACUGGAGAGGAGACUGGAAUUCAUGGUGUAGCAGUGAAAUGCGUAGAGAUCAUGAGGAAGACCAGUGGCGAAGGCGGGUCGUCUGGACAGUUCCUGACACUGAGGCACGAAGGCCAGGGGAGCAAACGGG
rnacentral:rRNA from 1 species